rnacentral:rRNA from 1 species
GACAGAGGAUGCAAGCGUUAUCCGGAAUGAUUGGGCGUAAAGCGCCUGUAGGUGGCUUUUUAAGUCCGCCGUCAAAUCCCAGGGCUCAACCCUGGACAGGCGGUGGAAACUACCAAGCUGGAGUACGGUAGGGCAGAGGGAAUUCCGGUGGAGCGGUGAAAUGCGUAGAGAUCGGAAAGAACACCAACGGCGAAAGCACUCUGCUGGCCGACACUGACACUGAGAGACGAAAGCUAGGGAGCGAAUGG